rnacentral:rRNA from 1 species
AGGUAGCUUAACCUUCGGGAGGGCGCUUACCACUUUGUGAUUCAUGACUGGGGUGAAGUCGUAACAAGGUAACCGUAGGGGAACCUGCGGUUGGAUCACUCCUUACCUUAAAGAA